CCUGGUUGAUCCUGCCAGUAGUCAUAUGCUUGUCUCAAAGAUUAAGCCAUGCAUGUCUAAGUAUAAGCGACUUGUACUGUGAAACUGCGAAUGGCUCAUUAAAUCAGUUAUGGUUUCUUUGAUGGUACCUUGCUACUUGGAUACCCGUAGUAAUUCUAGAGCUAAUACAUGCAGGAGUGCCCGACUUCGGAAGGGCUGUAUUUAUUAGAUAAGAAACCUUCUCGGGUUCGCCCGGUUGUGUGCUGAGUCAUAAUAACUGCUCGAAUCGCACGGCUCUACGCCGGCGAUGGUUCAUUCAAAUUUCUGCCCUAUCAGCUUUCGAUGGUAGGAUAGAGGCCUACCAUGGCGUUAACGGGUAACGGAGAAUUAGGGUUCGAUUCCGGAGAGGGAGCCUGAGAAAUGGCUACCACAUCCAAGGAAGGCAGCAGGCGCGUAAAUUGCCCGAAUCCUGACACAGGGAGGUAGUGACAAGAAAUAACAAUACAGGGCUACUUCUAGUCUUGUAAUUGGAAUGAGUACAACUUACAUCUCUUCACGAGGAUCAACUGGAGGGCAAGUCUGGUGCCAGCAGCCGCGGUAAUUCCAGCUCCAGAAGCGUAUAUUAAAGUUGUUGCAGUUAAAACGCUCGUAGUCGGGUUUCGGGUCGGGCCGAGCGGUCUGCCGAUGGGUAUGCACUGUUUGGCGCGGCCUUCUUUCCGGAGACCGCGGCUACUCUUAACUGAGCGGGCGUGGGAGACGGAUCGUUUACUUUGAAAAAAUCAGAGUGUUUCAAGCAGGCAGCUCGCUCUUGCAUGGUACAGCAUGGGAUGAUUGAAUAGGACUCCGGUGCUAUUUUGUUGGUUUCGAACACCAGGAGUAAUGAUUAACAGGGACAGUCAGGGGCACUCGUAUUCCGUCGAGAGAGGUGAAAUUCUCAGACCAAUGGAAGACGAACCACUGCGAAAGCAUUUGCCAGGGAUGUUUUCACUGAUCAAGAACGAAAGUUAGGGGAUCGAAGACGAUCAGAUACCGUCGUAGUCUUAACCAUAAACCAUGCCGACUAGGGAUUGGAGGGUGUUCGUUUCGACCUCUUCAGCACCUUACGGGAAACUAAAGUCUUUGGGUUCCGGGGGGAGUAUGGUCGCAAGGCUGAAACUUAAAGGAAUU
rnacentral:rRNA from 1 species